AUUUGUUACAUUUCUAUAUUUAAUCCACAAUCAUCUGUCAAUCUGUAUCUUACAAAGUUAUGUUCAUCUAUAAUUUAGGAAGAUAAAUGAUUUAACUUGGUCGUCACAUAGAUAUUUUGAAAAUCAGACCAAUAAUAAAGGAUGUUCGGCUUUAUUUCUACGGUAGUGUUAGAAGAAGAGAAAAACAAAUGCAUAAACACAUACCACAAGUUUGACAUAAGAAUCUAUAACUUUAAAAGUGUUGCAUUUAAUACUACAAAUUCAUUCAAUUGAAUUUAUAAUGUUAUAAAACUUAAUUCUUCACAAUGUUAUUCCAGUCCAGUUACAUUACCGUGUUGUGUGUCGCGCUCUGUCACAGGUUAGGGGAGGGUUUGAGCUUAAAUCUAGUCUAACCCACCACAUUCUGUAUGUGCCGGUCUCAAGCCAGGAGCCUAUAGUCUAGUUCACUGG
rnacentral:lncRNA from 1 species